AAAAUUUGGGUAGAGUGAAACUGCGGAUAGCUCAUUAAAUCGCCUCUAUUUUGUUUGAUAGUCCUCCACUGGAUAUCCGUGGAAAAUCUAGAGCCAAUACUUGCACUGAUAUCUAACAAGCAUAUGUUCUUGUUAGAUGCAUUUAUUGGAUAUCCGAUCGCUCACAUUGCGAGCGUUAGGUGAUUCUAAAUGACUUUGCUGAUCGUAUGGCCUUNGUGCCGACGACAGAUCAAACAAGAUCGCGCCCUAUCMAUUUGUUGUUAGGAUAUUUUCCUAACAAGGUUGUAACGGGUGACGGGGAAUCAGGGUUUGAUUCCGGAGAGGGAGCAUGAGAUAUAGCUACCACAUCUAAGGAAGGCAGCAGGCGCGCAAAUUACCCACUCCCGACACGGGGAGGUAGUGACGAGAAAUAUCGGCUCCUAUUCAAUUGAGUAGGAGACCGAAAUGGACGAAAUUCAGGUCCAUUCGUGAGUAACAAGCAGAGGGCAAGUCUGGUGCCAGCAGCCGCGGUAAUUGCCAGCUCUGCACGCAUAUGCGAGAUUUGUUG
rnacentral:rRNA from 1 species